AUUUGGAAUUGGGGAAUUGAUUGAUUCUGUGGUAAAUGAAGAUGAAAUUCUUGUUGCUGAGCUUUGUGAAACCAACAUGUAAACAGGAAAAGAAAAGUUACUUUCAACGCAGAAAUAGAUCAAGAUUCUUAUGAAGAAGACGAGGGUUAUGUCCCAACUGAUGAAGAAUCGUCGGAAGAACCAUCAAGCACCACAUUUUCAUCAAAGAGAAAAAGAUGGACAGUGGAUGAGGAGAAUGUCCUGAGAUUUGAAUUUAAUAAGAACUUUAAAGAUAAAAACUUGCAAGAAAUGCUGAAGCACUGAAAGUAAAAAAAACAAAUACAAAUUUCUUGCUGAUAAAGAUAUUUAUUAGAUAAGGAGUAAAGUGAAACAUAUGCUGAGACGUAAAUGAGUUAACAGAGUUAGGACUUUUGUCAUGCAGUCAAACAUGAUUCUGUGAAACUUUAAACUGGAACAGUAACUCCUGAAAAAAUACCCCAGACUUAUUUUUUGGUCAUCUCAAUUAACUUAGAGGUAGAUAAACAAGGGUCCUACUGAAUGCUAAAUGUUUUAGAUUG